AGCAACAGGGAAGAUCCGCACUUGACGUUACUGAUACAUACGAGAAUGCUUGUCAUUCAAUCCCAUUAUGAAAACGUUAGGGAAGGUCUCCAGACUAGUAGGAUCCUUUUUUUUUUAUGAAAGGGGUCUGUAUCUGUAAUGGAUACGUACAUGGUGUUGCCCUUGGCAAUGCUGCAUUUUAACUACCCUUGCAAUUACCAAGUUGUGAGUAGUAAGGGAGAAGUAAAAUGCGUAUUUACUGGUCAUAGCAAAAAGUUAUUGCGGAUACUACCUCGUAAUGUAGUUAACAGAAUGGAGACUACUCUCCCAAGUUGC
rnacentral:RNase_MRP_RNA from 1 species